rnacentral:rRNA from 1 species
UGCGCAGGUGGCGAUGUAAGUCAGUGGUGAAAGGCUGCCGCUUAACGGUAGGACUGCCAUUGAUACUGCAUUGCUUGAGUAUGGUUGAGGUAGGCGGAAUGUGUGGUGUAGCGGUGAAAUGCAUAGAUAUCACACAGAACACCGAUUGCGAAGGCAGCUUACUAAGCCAUUACUGACGCUGAGGCACGAAAGCGUGGGUAGCGAACAGGAUUAGAUACCCUGGUAGUCC